CAAGAGUUGGAGGAUAUGAGUCAAUAAUUUUAGUUCUCCCAGUUUCACACUGUAAAAGAAUAUGAUUACUUUUUGGCAUAAGGACAAGGCUUUGACCGCAAAGGUGAGGGAGCUUGAAGAUCAUACACAAGGAGAAUCGCAGAUGGGAGGCAUCCCAGCCCUUCAAUCAUUCAAGAUCUGGAACUUGUGAGAACACCCUGAGGAAAACAGCUGCGUGAUUGCAAAGAGGAAGAAAUCUCACAUGAGUGUGAAGUAUUGUAAUUUAAAUAA